AUUGAACGCUGGCGGCAGGCCUAACACAUGCAAGUCGAGCGGUAGCACAGAGAGCUUGCUCUCGGGUGACGAGCGGCGGACGGGUGAGUAAUGUCUGGGAAACUGCCUGAUGGAGGGGGAUAACUACUGGAAACGGUAGCUAAUACCGCAUAACGUCGCAAGACCAAAGUGGGGGACCUUCGGGCCUCAUGCCAUCAGAUGUGCCCAGAUGGGAUUAGCUGGUAGGUGGGGUAACGGCUCACCUAGGCGACGAUCCCUAGCUGGUCUGAGAGGAUGACCAGCCACACUGGAACUGAGACACGGUCCAGACUCCUACGGGAGGCAGCAGUGGGGAAUAUUGCACAAUGGGCGCAAGCCUGAUGCAGCCAUGCCGCGUGUGUGAAGAAGGCCUUCGGGUUGUAAAGCACUUUCAGCGGGGAGGAAGGCGGUGAGGUUAAUAACCUCAUCGAUUGACGUUACCCGCAGAAGAAGCACCGGCUAACUCCGUGCCAGCAGCCGCGGUAAUACGGAGGGUGCAAGCGUUAAUCGGAAUUACUGGGCGUAAAGCGCACGCAGGCGGUCUGUCAAGUCGGAUGUGAAAUCCCCGGGCUCAACCUGGGAACUGCAUUCGAAACUGGCAGGCUAGAGUCUUGUAGAGGGGGGUAGAAUUCCAGGUGUAGCGGUGAAAUGCGUAGAGAUCUGGAGGAAUACCGGUGGCGAAGGCGGCCCCCUGGACAAAGACUGACGCUCAGGUGCGAAAGCGUGGGGAGCAAACAGGAUUAGAUACCCUGGUAGUCCACGCUGUAAACGAUGUCGAUUUGGAGGUUGUGCCCUUGAGGCGUGGCUUCCGGAGCUAACGCGUUAAAUCGACCGCCUGGGGAGUACGGCCGCAAGGUUAAAACUCAAAUGAAUUGACGGGGGCCCGCACAAGCGGUGGAGCAUGUGGUUUAAUUCGAUGCAACGCGAAGAACCUUACCUGGUCUUGACAUCCGCAGAACUUAGCAGAGAUGCUUUGGUGCCUUCGGGAACUGUGAGACAGGUGCUGCAUGGCUGUCGUCAGCUCGUGUUGUGAAAUGUUGGGUUAAGUCCCGCAACGAGCGCAACCCUUAUCCUUUGUUGCCAGCGGUUAGGCCGGGAACUCAAAGGAGACUGCCAGUGAUAAACUGGAGGAAGGUGGGGAUGACGUCAAGUCAUCAUGGCCCUUACGACCAGGGCUACACACGUGCUACAAUGGCAUAUACAAAGAGAAGCGACCUCGCGAGAGCAAGCGGACCUCAUAAAGUAUGUCGUAGUCCGGAUUGGAGUCUGCAACUCGACUCCAUGAAGUCGGAAUCGCUAGUAAUCGUAGAUCAGAAUGCUACGGUGAAUACGUUCCCGGGCCUUGUACACACCGCCCGUCACACCAUGGGAGUGGGUUGCAAAAGAAGUAGGUAGCUUAACCUUCGGGAGGGCGCUUACCACUUUGUGAUUCAUGACUGGGGUGA
rnacentral:rRNA from 1 species